GCUGGGCAUGGUGGUGCAUGCCUGUAAUCCCAACUACUCAGGAGGCUGAGGCACAAGUAUUGCUUGAACCCAGGAGGUGGAGGUUGCAGUGAGCCAAGAUCGUGCCACUGCAUUCCAGCCUGGGUGACAAAGUGAGACUAUGUCUCCA
ensembl:misc_RNA Metazoa_SRP Metazoan signal recognition particle RNA